AUGAAAUAAACACAACAGAGAAAGAGAAAAGAGAGGAGAAGAGAAUAAGAAACACAUAACAGAGAAGAGAAAGAGAAAAGAGAGAGGAGAAGAGAAGAGAAUACGUACGGAAAUGGCGACUCCGCACCUUUGCUUGCUAGAUUCAUCCCGGCAAAGCAAAAAAAAAAAAAAAGGAGCACCAGUCUUCACCUGUAGGCUCCAUACUGGUAGCAUCCUUUUCCAGUACCUUUCUUUUUUAUUAGUGUUAAGUAAUUGACCUAUGUAUGGCCUUGAUUUGUAUUUUUCUUUUUUAAAUUUUGAUAAUUGUUUGUUGAAGUAUGCAUAAUUAGUGCGUUUUUUUUUUUCUAAAUUAAUCUUUUUCUGACUUAACAAUAUUCAUUUCCGAAUUUUGUUUAUAAUUCUUUUGUGGCAAGCAUCAGCUGUUGCCUGUUGUUAAGUUUAUGAAUUCUUGAGUUGUCUAUUUCAUGUUUUGUUAACUGUUGAUUGUUAAAUUUAUGUUUUAUUUGUGACAAUAUUUAGAAGUUUUGUUUCUGGUAUCUUUUGUUUGAUUCAUUGAAAUUUAAGAGCCAUUUCUUGUGGUUAUUCUUUCUUUGCAUUUAGUUUUAUAAAAGCUGAGAAUUGUUAUUCAAGGGCUUAUAUAUGCUACUGCUUGCGAGUGAGACCAAUCUUGUCAGACUCUUAAAGUGUUCACGCAAAAUGUUCAAUGUGCAGUUUUUGACGUUUUCCAUUUCAUUUUUCAUACUUUAUUAUCAUUUGUUUCCUUCCAAUUCAGCAUUUUUAUUGUGGGUCAAAUGCUUGAUUAAUGUCCACUGUCUUUCUUUUUUGGUUAAUACCCAUUAUUAAAUAUGAUUGGUAUUUUUCCCUUGACUUUAUAAUUGAGUUCAUUUCAGUUCUGUUACUGUUCCGAUGGCCCAUUUUUCAUUUCAAUAUCAAUCUUGUAUUCUCUUGUUUGAAUCAAUUGUACAAGAAGGUUUCAUUGUAAUGGAGACUGAUUCUUUCCUGUGGUUUUGAUGACAUGCAUUGUUAACUUGCUUCAUUAAUGUUCAAUUAUUUAUUUUUGUUAUGUAGUUUCAGUGUCCUUGCAAAACAUACUAUUUUUUUCUUAGUUUCUGGAGAAUACUUCUGUUUAUGGGUUUAGAUCUUGGUCCAAAUUAGGACAUGGUGUUCUUUUUUUCAAAAAAAUAAUCUUCACUUCCAUAUAAAUUAUGCUGAUUGAUGUUGAUGACAAAAACAUCUCAGCAUCAAUACUCUGUGAUGCUCCUUUUCUGAUUGAUGCCCCGACGACAUAUAUAGGCAAGGCCAACUCCUAUAUUCUUAACUUUUGUGAAUAAUUAUAUUUCUUAGCAGAUUGUUUGUUUAUUCUUUUUUGGAUAUGGUUAUCCAAAUGUAAGAAGCAAUCAUGAUACUAGCUAUCACUAGGCAAUAUGCACUUGUUUUUAAGAGUUCUUCUUUUCUUUUCUUGAACAUAUCAUUUCCUAGAGUUGAUGACUGGGUAUGCACAUUAUAUUCUCAGAAAUUAGAAUUAAUAUGGUGUCAGCAUGCCUUUAUGGACAUGGAGGUCAUGGGAGAUAAUUUGCAGCCAAUUUAUAUGUCGCUUUCUUGAGCAAGUGAUCUAAAAGUAGUUUGCUUGUUUCUUUCCUUGGUAAAGAAAAAAGUACCUUUGGAAGAAGUUUCCAAGUGGGAGACAUAUGAUCGUCACUGCUGCAUGAAAUGAAGGAAAAUUACAGUUCGAGUACCAACUUGCUGGAGAAUCUGCUAAAUUUUUGAUGUGUACUCGUGGAAUCUUGGGCUGGUGUCAUGUUCCUUCCUUGUGACGGCCAAACUUUGAUGAAAAUCAAUUCUAGUUCUGCAGUCGCCCAUGUGGACCAACCGAAAAUAAAUAAAUUCCUGGCGUAAUCAAGCUGAGGAUAUUCUGUUGUUGUGUGAACUGUUUGGUCUCAAGGUUUCUGCAUGACUGAACUUGUUAUUCCCAAUUUACGUUAGUGAUAUUAUUAUUCCCAAUCGGAAAAGGAUAAAAGUGGAUUCUUUCAUCCUCUUUCAAGUCUGUUUAUAUAAUCAGUUUGACUAGCAAAGGUUGGUCAUCGUCCAUUUA